rnacentral:rRNA from 1 species
CGUCUAUAUACGUAUAGCAUAUCAAUAAGCGGAGGAAAAGAAACUAACUAGGAUUCCCUUAGUAACGGCGAGUGAAGCGGGAAGAGCUCAAAUUUGAAAUCUUCAAGGUUUUACCUUGACGAAUUGUAGUUUAAUAGAAGUGUUUUCUGUUAGUAGAGUGGCUAAAAGUUCUUUGGAAUAGGACAUCAUAGAGGGUGAGAAUCCCGUAUUUGAUCAUUCUUCUAGCUGUGUGAUACACUUUCAACGAGUCGGAUUGUUUGGGAAUGCAGUCCAAAAUGGGUGGUAAAUUUCAUCUAAAGCUAAAUAUUGGCGAGAGACCGAUAGCGAACAAGUACCGUGAGGGAAAGAUGAAAAGAACUUUGAAAAGAGAGUUAAACAGUACGUGAAAUUGUCAAAAGGGAAGCGUUUGACACCAGUGUUGUUUUUCCGAAAAUCAAUUACGAAUGUUUUAGUUUUUAAGAAGUUAUGACUUCAUCGGCUUGCUUCUCUCUUUAUGAAACUUUCUUAAUGCACUUUUCGGUUAACAAGUCAACAUCAAUUUCUUUUGUUGUAAAAGGGUAUGAGGAAGGUGGCUUUCUUUUCGGAGAAAGUGUUUAUAGCCUUGUACCUCUGCAAUCGGAGAGAUUGAGGUCUGCAGCGUAGACUCUUCGGGGUUAGAUACACUUGUGCUAAGUUAUAGCCUUUCAUAGACAACUUGUUGACUAUGAUCAGUCAUGUAGCUUACUCGCUUGAUGUCAUUUUACCUACGCUUAGGAUGUUGACACACGCGCGUGCUCG